GACGAACGCUGGCGGCGUGCUUAACACAUGCAAGUCGAACGAAGUGGCGAACGGGUGAGUAACGCGUAAUCAACCUGCCCUUCAGUGGGGGACAACAGUUGGAAACGACUGCUAAUACCGCAUACUGAAGGAGGGGAUUGCGUCUGAUUAGCUAGUUGGAGGGGUAACGGCCCACCAAGGCGAUGAUCAGUAGCCGGUCUGGGAGGAUGAACGGCCACAUUGGGACUGAGAAACGGCCCAGACUUCUAGGGGAGGAAGCCGGGGGGAAUCUUCCGCAAUGGACGAAAGUCUGACGGAGCAACGCCGCGUGAGUGAUGACGGCCUUCGGGUUGUAAAGCUCUGUUAAUCGGGACGCGGUACCGGAAUAGAAAGCCACGGCUAACUACGUGCCAGCAGCCGCGGUAAUUC
rnacentral:rRNA from 1 species